rnacentral:rRNA from 1 species
AUGAUGGAUGCUGCCACAUUUCAGAUGCCUUGUGCCUUGAGACAGUUAUUUGCGACUAUACUGGUAUUCUGUGAGGCUACAGAAAUACGUCAGAUGUGGGACAAACAUCUGGCAGCGAUGUCCGAGGACUACCGGCGUAAUCAAUCCAAUGAGGCAAUACUUGAGCAGAUGGUCCUCAGAGAUAUCAGGGAUAUGUUGCAAUCCAUGGGAAAGGAUAUUACAAACUAUGGACUUCCGGAAUUGGUUGACACCGAUGGUUCUUAUGACGGUGUGUACAGAGAGGUAACAGAGGAGAGGCAAAUCAGCAUGGACAAAGAACAUCUAGAAUUAUUUACCAGUUUGAACAGUGAGCAGCUCGCUAGUUUCAAUCACAUAAUGGAUCAUGUGGUCAACCAAACAAGUCAGUCCAGGUUCAAAAUACCAAUCAAGCUCACUAACAACAACAUGUGUAGUUUCACAAAGCAGAGUGGUACAGCUGUGUUGCUUAAGCAAGCGUCCUUGAUAAUUUGGGAUGAAGUUGCUAUGAUAAAACAUCAAGUAGUUUAG